AGGUAGUCCCUGGUGCCCUAAGG
rnacentral:miRNA from 1 species